CCGUCAAUUCAUUUGAGUUUCAGCCUCGCGGCCGUACUUCCCAGGUGGCUCGCUUCACGGCUUCCCUACGGCACCGACAACGGUCGCACCGUGGCCGACACCUAGCGAGUAUCGUUUACGGCUAGGACUACCCGGGUAUCUAAUCCGGUUCGUGCCCCUAGCUUUCGUCCCUUGCCGUCAGGUCCGUUCUGGUGAGACGCCUUCGCCACUGGUGGUCCUUCAAGGAUUACAAGAUUUCACCCCUACCCCUGAAGUACCUCUCACCUCUCCCGGCCUCGAGCCGAACAGUAUCUCCUGAAAGCCCAACAGUUGAGCUGCUGGAUUUUCUCAAAGAGACUUAUCCGGCCGGCUACAGACCCUUUAGACCCAAUAAUAACGGUUACCACCUGGAGCCGCCGGUGUUACCGCGGCGGCUGGCACCGUUCUUGCCCGGCCCUUGCUAUGCAAAUGCUUUUUAGGCAUCACGACAGCCAGAUUUGUAACCUGGCACUCGAGGUCCCCUUAUCGCCGUUGC
rnacentral:rRNA from 1 species